rnacentral:rRNA from 1 species
AUGGCGGAUGCCGCCUUCCAGCACUUCUCGACAGUCCUCGGCUCCUCGGAUUCACGCGACUUCACGCUGGACCUGAAUAUGAUCGACCCGAGAUCAUUCGACCUUUCCUACCUCGACCGGCCAUUCACCGAGCAGGAGGUGUGGAGGGUUGUCAAGCAGCUUCCCACCGGCAAAUCCCCCGGCCCCGACGGCUUCUCCGCCGAAUUCUUGCGCAGCUGCUGGGAGGUGCUCAAAGGCGACAUCAUGGACGCCUUUGACAAGAUUUACCACCUGAAUUGGCGAGGCUUCCAGUGCCUUAACGAGGCGUUCAUCACCUUACUAUCCAAGCGCACCGACGUUGCCGCUCUUGGCGAUUACAGGCCGAUCAGCUUGAUUCAUAUCAUGGCUAAGUUGGUGGCUAAAGUGCUCUCUCUUCGCUUGGCGCCAGGACUCAACGAGCUGGUUUCCUCGAGCCAGAGUGCGUUCAUCUCAGGGCGGUGCUUCCACGAUAAUUUUAUGCUCGUCCAGCAAACGGUUCGUCACCUCCAUGGUUCCAAGGCCAACCGCGUUCUGCUCAAACUGGAUAUUGCCCGAACUUUUGACGUCGUCUCAUGGCCCUUCCUGCUCGAGGUCUUGCGGCAUCUGGGAUUCGGUAGAUGGUGGUGUGAGUGGAUUUCCAUCCUUCUAUCUACUGCCUCCACCCGCGUCCUCAUCAACGGCAGCCCGGGCCCUCCCAUCUUCCACGCAAAGGGACUGCGCCAAGGAGACCCGGUGUCCCCAUGCUUUUCACCAUGGUGA